rnacentral:rRNA from 1 species
AGCGAACGCUGGCGGCAGGCCUAACACAUGCAAGUCGAACGAACUCUUCGGAGUUAGUGGCGGACGGGUGAGUAACACGUGGGAACGUGCCUUUAGGUUCGGAAUAACUCAGGGAAACUUGUGCUAAUACCGAAUGUGCUCUUCGGGGGAAAGAUUUAUCGCCUUUAGAGCGGCCCGCGUCUGAUUAGCUAGUUGGUGAGGUAAAGGCUCACCACGGCGAGGAUCAGUAGCUGGUCUGAGAGGAUGAUCAGCCACAUUGGGACUGAGACACGGCCCAAACUCCUACGGGAGGCAGCAGUGGGGAAUCUUGCGCAAUGGGCGAAAGCCUGACGCAGCCAGGCCGCGUGAAUGAUGAAGGUCUUAGGAUUGUAAAAUUCUUUCACCGGGGACGAUAAUGACGGUACCCGGAGAAGAAGCCCCGGCUAACUUCGUG